AUUGCUUGAUUUUAGAUAAAUGGCUAAAUGUUUUUCAAUCUUUGGUACAUUUGUGUGUGCAUCACAGUGGCACAAUGGUUAGAGCUGCUCAAAACCUUGGACAACCCCGUCCAAUCCUGACCUCAAGUCCACAGCUCCCUGAAAGUGGCAACACAAGUACACCGGAUGGUAAAGAAGAUGGAUGGUAUGCUUGCCUUCAUCAGUCAGAGCUUUGUAUGUUCAUGUUAUAGGAGCAGAAUUAGGCCAUUCGGCCCAUCAAGUCUACUCCAUGGUUGAUCUAUCUUUCCCUCUCAACCCCAUUCUCCUGCCUUCUCUCCAUAACCCCUGACUCCCGUACUAAUUAAGAAUCUAUCAAUCUCCGUCUUAAAAAUAUCCAUUGACUUGACCUCCACAGCCGCCUGUGUCAAUGAAUUCCACAGAUUCACCACCCUCUGACGAAAUAAAUUCCUCCUUUCUAAAGGUACGUCUUUUUAUUCUGAGGCUAUUGAAAAAUGAUUGUAACUUGUUUGUGUGGAUGUCUGACCUAACACAGCAAGUAGCUGCCCCAUUCACUUAUUAACUAGAAUAACCGAGUGAUUUACUCCGUUAAUUUGUAGACCUUUGCUCUCCUGAUAUUUUUGUGAAAACAGGCGUCUUGUGGCAUGUCGGUGAGGAGGUCUGUGGGUGGACAACGCUACCCUGGCUGGGCAUUCAACUCCCCUUCACCAUGGCCACGUUUGACGAUAUCCUGGUAGAAGUGGGAGGCUUUGGCCCAUACCAGAGAAGAGUGUUCAUCCUGAUAUACCUAACGUCACCCAUCUUCUCCUGGCUGUACUUCGGCUUUGUGUUCCUGGCCGUUACUCCCGACCAUUGGUGCAGGAGUCCCGGUGUGUCCGCACUGAGGGCCAAAUGCAACUGGUCCCUGGAGCAGGAGAAGAACUUCACGCUGCCCGCGGGCCGCGCUGGGAGCUCCCCGUACAGUCAGUGCGAGAGGUUCGACAUAGACUGGAAUUCCUCCUCCGUUAGCUGUGAAGAUCCACUUCCCUUCUCCUGGAAUCAUUCCCGAGAUCUUCCCCUGACAAGGUGCCGGGACGGAUGGGUUUUUGAAAACGGUUCGAUCUCCAGCAUUGUAACCGAGUUUGAGCUGGUGUGCACGGAUGCCUGGAAGGUAGAUCUAACUCAGGCCUGCCUCAACCUGGGCUUCAUGGUGGGGACGAUCGCCAUUGGCUACGCGGCGGACAUGUUUGGCCGCAGGUCCUGCUUCCUGUUCGCCACCUUCGUGACCUUGGUCGCUGGUUUGCCGCUGGCGUUUGCCACGAGUUACCCCUGCUUCCUGAUCCUACGCACUCUGCAAGGUCUCUUCAGCCGAGGCGGAUGGAUCGCUGCUCAGGUCCUAAUGACGGAGCUGGUGGUUUCGGAACAGAGGAGGCGAGCGGGAAUCCUCAACCAGAUGUGCUUCAGUUUGGGGAUGAUGCUCCUGCCAGCUGUUGCCUACUGGCUACCGGCCUGGAGAGACCUGCAGCUGGUUAUCACCGCCCCAAACCUGCUCUUCCUCGCCUACUACUGGCUGAUCCCCGAGUCUCCCCGGUGGAUGAUGUCCCGACGGAAGGAAGCGGAGGCGGUUCGGAUUCUACGGCAGGUGGCAGCAAGGAACGGCGCUCGCUGGUCGCCCACGGCUCAGACUGUUACCAUGGAGGAGAGGGAUGGAGAGGUGACUCGUCCAACCCUGCUGGACCUGGUCAGGACUCCAAGGAUGAGGAAACACACUUUGAUUCUGAUGAUAAACUGGUUUGCCAGCGCUCUGGUCUACCAAGGGCUGGCCAUGCGCUUGGGAACGCUGGGUGGAAACAUCUACCUUAACUUCUUCAUCUCUGGAGCUGUGGAAAUCCCGGCCUCGAUCAUCGUCUUUCUGGUCAUCGAGAGGAUUGGGCGCCGCCUUCCCUUCGCUGCCGGCGGGCUCGUGUCGGGGGCAUCCUGCCUGAUCGCAGCCUUCAUACCCGAGAGCAAGUAUCCCAUGGAGCAUGGUGCGGUCCAGGUUAAUGAGGAUCAGGAGGCAACAGUCAAUGAGGGGGAUAUGUGUGGUAGAGCAGUGUAGACCGUAAAAUCUAUAGCAUAUAGAGCAUAGAACAGAAAACAUUGAGCGUAGAACAUGGAGCGUAGAGAAUAGAGUGUAGAGCAUGGAACAGCACAGGAUAGCACAGGAACAGUCCCUUUGGCUCUGUGCAAAAAAUGAUGCUGGUUCAACUAAUCUCUUCUGCCUGCACAUGAUCCAUGCCCUCCAAUCCCUGCAUAUCCAGAUGUUUGAAAACAUGUGGUCUGUAGUUCCGGUGUAGAUCUUUGUAAACAUCAAAUCCUGAGCUGGAGAGAACUGGACCUUGUUACAUCUCCCUGCAAUUCCUUGGUUUGCUCAUCCCUUCCCACCCAAUUCAUCACCUCCAGGCCACUUUCCCCUGCAACACCUGGCCCUAUACCUCUUCCCCAUCUCCAUUCCUCUACAUCUGUGACUAGUGGAGCGCUGCAAGGCUCGGUGGAUGACACAAAGCUGGGUGGCAGUGUGAGCUGUGAGGAGCAUGCUAUGAGGCUGCAGGGUGACUUGGAUAGGUUGGGUGAGUGGGCAGAUGCAUGGCUGAUGCAGUAUAGUGUGGAUAAAUGUGAGGUUUUCUACUUUGGUGGCAAGAAGAACAAGGCAGAUUAUUAUCUGAAUGGUGUCAGAUUAGGACAAGGGGAGGUGCAAUGAGACCUAAGUGUGUUUGUACAUCAGUCACAGAAAGUAAACAUGUAGGAACAGCAGACAGUGAAGAAAACAAAUGGCUUGUUGGUCUUCAUUACGGGAGGAUUUGAGUUUAGGAGCAAGGAGGUCCUACUGCAUUUGUACAGGGCCCUGGUGAGACUGCAUCUGGAGCAAUAUUUGUCUCCUAAAUUGAGAAAGGAGAUUAUUGAUGUUGAGGGAGUGCAGCAUAGGUUCACCAGGUUAAUUCCCGAGAUGGCGGGACCGACAUAUGACGAAAGAAUGGGUUGAUUAGGCUUGUAUUCACUGGAAUUUAGGAUGAGAGGAGAUCCUAUAGAAACAUGUAAAAUUGUUAAAGGGUUCGAUUGGCUAGAUGCAGGAAAAAUCUUCCCAAUGUUGGGGGAGUCCAGAACCUGGGGUCACAGUUUAAGAAUAAGGGGUAAGCUAUUUAGCACUGAGAUGAGGAAAAACCUUUUCACCCAGAGAGUUGUGAAUCUGUGGAAUUCUCUGCCACAGAAGGCAGUGUAGGCCAAUUCACUGGAUGUUUUCAAGAGAGAGUUAGAUUUAGCUCUUAGGGCAAAAGGAAUCAAAGAAAAGCAGGAACGGGGUACUGAUUUAAGAUGAUCAGCCAUGAUCAUAUUGAAUGGAGGUGCUGCCUCAAAAGGCCGAAUGGCCUACUCCUGCACCUAUUUUUUUAUGUUUCUACCUAGCUUGUCGUAAUCCUUUGAUCAGUAUUCCUUAAUCUUGGAAGCAGUUCUCCGAUAUGGUACCUUAUACCUAUGGUAAAUCUAUUUAUUCAUCAAUUUUUUGCAAAUUGUACAGAUGCACAGGGCAUAGGAGAGAUCACAUUAUUGUGGAGGGAAUCAGUCAUCUUAUUUCAGGAAGGAUGUUAAUUAAUUAGAAAUAAUUCAGAGAAGGUUCACCAGGGUAACACUUAGAUUUGUAUGGGGAAAGGUUGGUAGACACAAAAUGCUGGUGAAACUCAGCGGGCGAGGCAGCAUCUAUGGAGAGAAGGAAUUGGUGAUGUUUUGGGUCGAGACCCUGCUUCAGAUAACCCGUCUUCAGGUGUUGGACUGGAUAGCUUUGUAUUCCUGGAAGUUUAAUAGGAAAGUUGAUUUUAAUCAUUAAAAUUCCUGAAGGGUCUUGACAGGGUGGAUGUGGAGAGGACUUUCCUUUUGUGUGUCUAUCUAGUUUACGACAUCACAGGAGAUGGACACAAAGUGUUCGAGUAACUCAAGGGGACAGGCAGCAAGUUUAUAAAAUUAUGUGAGGCGUAGACAAGUGUAGAGAAUCAGAACCUUUUUCCCAGGAUGGAAACAUCAAAGACUACAGGGCAUAGCUUUAAGGUGGGAAGGAGCCAAAUUUAAAGGAUAUGUGCGGGGCAAGUUUGUAUUGCUUAAAGAGGGUGGUGUGUGCCUGGAACGCGCUGCCAGAGGUUGUGGUGAAGGCAGAUACAAUAGUCACCGUGAAUCAGAGGGUCGCAAGUCUUUGAAACUCUGUUCCUGAAAAGUUGGUGGAAGCAGACUUCAAUAUUUUUAAGUCAGGGGUAUUCUUGAUAAGCAAGAGAACAUAGAACAGUACAGUACAGCACAGCACAGGAACAGGCCCUUCGGCCCACAAUGACCGUGCUGAACAUGACACCAUGCUCAUCCCAACUCUUAUCUGCCUGCAUAUAAUCCGUAUCCCUCCAUUCCAUGCAUAUACAUGUGCUUUUCCAAAAGUCUCUCAAAUGCAUCUAUCAUAUCUGUCUCCACCACCACCCCAGCAACGUGUUCCAGCCACUCACCACUCUCUGUGUGUAAACCUAAAUUUUUACCUUAAAGGUAUGCCCUCCAAUAUUUGGCAUUUCCAUCCUAAGAAAGGUUUUGACUGCUUACCCAAUCUACGCUUCCCAUAACUUUAUAUACUUCUAUCACGUCUUCCCUCAAUUUCUGACAAAGAAGAGAGGUUAUGAUAUAUCUCAUGAAAUGAGCCUUAAUCUUAACGGGGGAUGGAAUGGAGAUGAAGGAGAAUUUCUUUAGCCAGAUGAUGGUCAAUCUGUGGAAUUUACUGCCACAGAUGGUCUUGGAGGCUAAGCCAUCGGGUUUUUUAAAGCAGGGAUUGAUAAGUUUGUGAUAAUCAUCAAAGGUUAUGGGGAGAGGGCAAAAGAAUGGGGUUGAGAGGGGAAAAUAGAUCAGCUAUGAUCAAAUGACAUAGCAGACACGAUAGGCCGAAUGGCCCAAUUCUGCUCCUAUGUCUUAUGGUCAAAUGGUAGUUUGCGAUAUUCUGAAGUUUAUUGGGAGGCAGGAUAUUUUGUGAGUUGGUCACAUUUCUUCCACUGUAGAUCUCCACUGGCUGAAGACCGUGGUCACGUCCUUGGGCAGGCUGGGCAUAACUAUCGCCAUUGAGAUGGUGUGCUUCGUAAACACAGAGUUGUACCCCACUUAUUUACGCAGGAGCUUCGGUGUGUCGGUGUGUGCCUCGCUGUCGGA